AGAGCGAACGCUGGCGGCAUGCUUAACACAUGCAAGUCGCACGGUCAGCAAUGGCAGUGGCGGACGGGUGAGUAACGCGUAGGUAUCUAUCCACGGGUGGGGGACAACGUCGGGAAACUGACGCUAAUACCGCAUGAUACCCGAGGGUCAAAGGCGCAAGUCGCCUGUGGAGGAGCCUGCGUACGAUUAGCUUGUUGGUGGGGUAAAGGCCUACCAAGGCGACGAUCGUUAGCUGGUCUGAGAGGAUGAUCAGCCACAUUGGGACUGAGACACGGCCCAAACUCCUACGGGAGGCAGCAGUGGGGAAUAUUGGACAAUGGGCGAAAGCCUGAUCCAGCAAUGCCGCGUGUGUGAAGAAGGUCUUCGGAUUGUAAAGCACUUUCGGCGGGGACGAUGAUGACGGUACCCGCGAGAAGAAGCCCCGGCUAACUUCGCGCCAGCAGCCGC
rnacentral:rRNA from 1 species